ACCAAGGCGACGAUCUUUAGCUGGUCUGAGAGGAUGGCCAGCCACAUCGGGACUGAGACACGGCCCGGACUCCUACGGGAGGCAGCAGUCGGAAUAUUGGACAAUGGGCGCAAGCCUGAUCCAGCAAUACCGCGUGUGUGAAGAAGGCCUGCGGGUUGUAAAGCACUUUCAGUUGGGAAGAUAAUGACGUUACCAACAGAAGAAGCACCGGCUAACUCCGUGCCAGCAGCCGCGGUAAUACGGAGGGUGCAAGCGUUAAUCGGAAUUACUGGGCGUAAAGCGUGCGUAGGCGGCCUGUUAAGUCAGAUGUGAAAGCCCCGGGCUUAACCUGGGAACUGCAUCUGAUACUGGGAGGCUAGAAUGUGGGAGAGGAGAGUGGAAUUUCCGGUGUAGCGGUGAAAUGCAUAGAGAUCGGAAGGAACACCAGUG
rnacentral:rRNA from 1 species